AAAAAUCAAAUGUGGAGAUGAAGUAGUAGAAAUUCAAAUUUUUGAAAUGGAAAAAAAUUUACAAAAUGAGGAAAAAUUUCAGUGUCAUUCUAUAUAUUGUUUGCAAGGACUGAAUGAAUUGGAUGAAAUAGAUGAAUGCCUAGAGAAAAUUUUUGAAAAUAAAGGAGAAAAAUAUUUAUGGGAUUUUGAAAAUUUUCAGGAACAAGAGGAACAAUUUCAGAAAAUAAUAGAAGAUGAUGAAAAAGAAG
rnacentral:lncRNA from 1 species